rnacentral:rRNA from 1 species
CGAGAAAGCCCGCAAGGGUGAGUAAAGCGGCGCACGGGUGCGUAACACGUGGGUAAUCUGCCCUGGAGCCCGGAAUAACUUCCCGAAAGGGAUACUAAUGCCGGAUGAGACCACGGGAGCUCCGGCUCUCGCGGGAAAAGGUGGCCUCUGUACACAAGCUAUCACUUCAGGAUGAGCCCGCGGCCCAUCAGCUAGUUGGCGGGGUAAUGGCCCACCAAGGCAACGACGGGUAGCUGGUCUGAGAGGACGAUCAGCCACACUGGAACUGAGACACGGUCCAGACUCCUACGGGAGGCAGCAGUGGGGAAUCUUGCGCAAUGGGCGAAAGCCUGACGCAGCAACGCCGCGUGUGUGAUGAAGGUCUUCGGAUCGUAAAGCACUGUCGCGAGGGACG